rnacentral:rRNA from 1 species
GGAAUAUUGGACAAUGGGGGCAACCCUGAUCCAGCCACGCCGCGUGUGUGAAGAAGGCCUUCGGGUUGUAAAGCACUUUCAGUGGGGAAGAAAAGCUCGGGGUGAAUACCAUCGGGUCUUGACGGUACCCGCAGACGAAGCACCGGCUAAUUCCGUGCCAGCAACCGCGGUAAGACGGAAGGUGCGAGCGUUAAUCGGAAUCACUGGGCGUAAAGCGCGCGUAGGCGGUUGGAUAAGUCGGGUGUGAAAGCCCUGGGCUCAACCUGGGAACUGCAUUCGAUACUGUCUGGCUAGAGUGUGAUAGAGGGAGGCGGAAUUCCGCAUGUAGCGGUGAAAUGCGUAGAGAUGCGGAGGAACACCAAUGGCGAAGGCAGCCUCCUGGAUCAACACUGACGCUGAGGCGCGAAAGCGUGGGGAGCAAA